rnacentral:rRNA from 1 species
UACGAAGGGGGGCUAGCGUUGCUCGGAAUUACUGGGCGUAAAGGGCGCGUAGGCGGGUGUUUAAGUCAGAGGUUAAAUCCCAGAGCUCAACUCUGGAACUGCCUUUGAUACUGGACACCUAGAGUACGGGAGAGGUGUGUGGAACUCCGAGUGUAGAGGUGAAAUUCGUAGAUAUUCGGAAGAACACCAGUGGCGAAGGCGGCCAACUGGUCCGGCACUGACGCUGAGGUGCGAAAGCGUGGGGAGCAAACAGG